AUAAAACGGCAAGAGGAAUAUUUUAAUAAAUUGCAAAGGCGUAUCCGCACUGUUCUAUUACUAUGAUGUGUUAUUAUGUCACAGUUAGACGACUUGAAUGUAAAUCUACGUUGAGUUAUUAUAGUUCAUGUUACAGCGGUUCUUCAUACCUCGAUUUCACAACCUCUUUCACUCUUUUCGAACGAGAUUUACCACGUGUGAGUGUCGUUCCUAUUUCUUUCAUUCGAUUGUGUCUCAUUUUGGUAUUAACGUUAUCAUCACAAUGCCACCUAAAUUCGACCCUAAUGAAAUCAAGAUAGUCUAUCUAAGAUGCGUUGGAGGUGAAGUAGGAGCAACUUCAUCUCUGGCUCCAAAAAUUGGUCCGCUCGGUU